rnacentral:lncRNA from 1 species
CCCCACAGAGCCCCAUAGAACCCCAUAGAGACCCCACAGAGCCCCACAGAGCCCCAUAGAACCCCACAGCCCCCACAGAGCCUCAUAGGGCCCCACAGAACCCCACAAGGCCCCACAGAACCCCACAGAGCCCCAUAGAGACCCCAUAGAACCCCACAGAGCCACAUAGAGCCCCAUAGAGACCCCAUAGAACCCCACAGAGCCCCAUAGAGACCCCAUUGAACCGCACAGAGCCCCAUAGAGACCCCAUAGAGACCCCACAGAGCCCCAUAGAGCCCCAUAGAGACUCCAUAGAACCCCACAGAGCCCCAUAGGGACUCCACAGAGACCCCACAGCCCCCACAGAGCCCCACAGACACCCAUAGAGACCCCACAGAGCCCCAUAGAGACCCCAUAGAACCCCACAGAGCCACAUAGAGCCCCAUAGAGACCCCAUAGAGACCCCAUAGAGACCCCACAGAGCCCCAUAGAGACCCCAUAGAACCCCACAGAGACACAUAGAGCCCCACAGAGCCCCACAGAGACCCCACAGAGCCCCAUAGAGCUUCACAGAACCCCACAGAGACACAUAGAGCCCCACAGAGCCCCACAGAGACCCCACAGAGCCCCAUAGAGCUUCACAGAACCCCACAGAGCCCCAUAGACACCCCACAGAGCCCCAUAGAGACCCCAUAGAACCCUACAGAGCUCCACAGAGCCCCAUAGAACCCCACAGAGCC